CCAACCAGUGGUGAUGGCUGGUGGGGGAUGAGUCAUGGACAGUGGACAGUGGACAGUAUGUGUCUGGAACCCUGAGGUGCAA
ensembl:snoRNA